AGUCGUAACAAGGUUUCCGUAGGUGAACCUGCGGAAGGAUCAUUAACACUGAUUUCCUUUUUCUUUACCCAAAAAACACAUGUGCGAACUGUUCAAAUGACAAUAAAAAAGGAUUUUUUCUCCCCCUUUCUCCCCCUUUUUUUUCUUCUUCUUUUGAAGAAGAAAAAGAGAGGGAAAGAGAGAAGACGUACUUUUUUGUUGUUGUUUUUUUUUCCCCAAUUAAACCCCAAAUUUAAUUGAAAUAAAUUUUCAAAAUUUUAAAAAACUUAGAAAAAACUAAAAAAACUAAAAAACUAAAUAAGAAAACAACUCUUAACAAUGGAUAUCUUGGUUCUCGC
rnacentral:misc_RNA from 1 species